CUAGAGCUGUUUCUGCAAACAGGCAACCGGGGUUCUCUUGCUUCUGUCAAGUGCAAGGCUGUGUCCCAGAGACCGAGCACUUGGCCUACGUCGUGUUCCGCUGCGGGUGCCCCCCUGUCUGGCCCCUUCCUUGGGUGUAGGGGAAGGCCAGAAGUUAACUCGAUGCUGUGCUUACUCACUCUGCUCUUGGUGUGACGUGCCCUGAACACCACGGGAUGGCAUCACAAUGAGACUAGUCUGGCAUCCACAGGGCAUCCAGAGUCAGCGGCCCAGGUGAACUGGCCACCAGCCGGGAGCCAGGACCCUGUCUGGGGUUAACAGAGGUUUUCAGAGGCGGGGAGAGGACCCCCACGGCUUCUCUUUGUUUUGUGCUAGCUGCUUGGAGCCGGUUGGAGGACACAGGGAGAGAUAAUGGCCCAAGGAAGGCUUAGGCGUCCCUUUGUUAUGGUUUAUUUCAAGCCACUUGAAGAGGCCCUUUAUUCUUCUGUUUGCUCCUAGUACUUCAAAGCUGGAGGGUUUUUCUUAGGGGGGGAAGAGGGGGUUAUCUGAGUCCUAAGCAGCUGGAGGGAGGUUGGAGGUUGCCAGUGAAUGGGGCUCAGGGGCUGCUUAUUGAGAAGCAGUCAAAAAAGAGAGGAAGAAAAAAGAAACAAUUUGGUUUUGUACUUACAGCGAGAGCCGUCCAUCUCCUACUUGAGUUGCUAAGACUUGGUGAAGACAAAGAUGGUUUGCGCUUCUGGAAACAAAUCAUCUCACACUUUCCCGUGCCAAUCCAUCACCUGGGAGGCUUUUUCCCAAAGGCCCUUCCCAGGACUCACUGGAGGGGGCAUGGAUAUUGAGCUGGGCCUGGAGGAAUCUGCACUCUAAUCUGAGUGCCCUGGGAAGGAGGUGUGGGGCCUCCCCCUGACAAGGCUUCCGAAGCCAUUAGAGAAAUUCGGGGUCCUGGGGCACCACGGUUGCCUGGCCAAAGGCAGCUGGUAAUAUUCUGGAUUACUUUGCUCCGGAUUCCUAACCCCCUGUGGCUCCCUGGGAAAUUCUUGCCCCUGUUAAGGGGGAGAUGGAACAAAGGAGGAUAAAAAAAAAAAAGGAGCCAGACCCUUUUAUCCCUUCUGG